ACAGGUGGGGUGCUGUUUCCUCCCAUUGUAAA
rnacentral:piRNA from 1 species